rnacentral:rRNA from 1 species
UGGGGAAUUUUGGACAAUGGGCGCAAGCCUGAUCCAGCAAUGCCGCGUGCAGGAUGAAGGCCUUCGGGUUGUAAACUGCUUUUGUACGGAACGAAACGGUGAGCUUUAAUACAGUUUGCUAAUGACGGUACCGUAAGAAUAAGCACCGGCUAACUACGUGCCAGCAGCCGCGGUAAUACGUAGGGUGCGAGCGUUAAUCGGAAUUACUGGGCGUAAAGCGUGCGCAGGCGGUUAUAUAAGACAGAUGUGAAAUCCCCGGGCUCAACCUGGGACCUGCAUUUGUGACUGUAUAGCUAGAGUACGGUAGAGGGGGAUGGAAUUCCGCGUGUAGCAGUGAAAUGCGUAGAUAUGCGGAGGAACACCGAUGGCGAAGGCAAUCCCCUGGACCUGUACUGACGCUCAUGCACGAAAGCGUGGGGAGCAAACAGG